ACCUGGGUGGCUCAGUCGGUUGAGCGUCUGACUUCGGGCUCAGGUCACGAUCUCGCGGUCCAUGGGUUCGAGCCCCAUGCCGGGUU
rnacentral:tRNA from 1 species